UAUCUCUGAUUGUGUUCAUCAGAAAGAAGAAAGUCGUACACACCUAGGAUGGCUUGAGGGAUGGACCCAAGGAGAUCUAUAAUACCUGGAGAGAGCUGUCAGUUAGCAUUCCCAUUGAUCUUCUGCAUUUCUCGGCAGGAUUCCCUGCCGUCGUUGCUCCUGGGCUCAGUCCUGGAUGCAGAAAUGAAAUGGCAAAAAUGUGAAAACUACAUUCUGUACAAAUAUGCUGAAAUAUGAUAUCAUAUUACUGAGGGAGGAAUGAGAGAACAGACCUGUGAGCCAUUUUUGGGUUGUGACCCUCCAGAGAACCACCGCUCUCCACCACAAAUGUCAGAACUGUUAGGAUUUAGCAGAAGAUCUCUGAAAACAACAAAGUGAGAAAUGUGUCCUUCAUAAGGUCUUUUACUCACACAAAGCUACAGCUUGAGAAGAUUUGGAAUAAAGUGCACAUGUUAUAGACCACUUUUUUUUUAGCUAUUUUCACAACUUGGCAGUCACCAUUUAUGAAGUACAUUUUGACAAAAUUAAAACUUUCUUCUGAACGGUUCUUUUAGCUGUGCAUUGUGCAAUAGAAGCAUUCCAUUAAACAUAGAGUUUUAAUUUUAAACACAUAUUCAGCUGGUGUAAUGUAGAAGUAAAGAACAUACUUAGA